rnacentral:lncRNA from 1 species
UUCAAUGCUUCAAUAAUGGUUCUGGGGAUCCCUAUAACAUUUGUUAUGAUUGUUAUAGCAGAAACAACAUUGAUCAUCAUAAGGAUGCUUACUUUGUCGAUAAUAUAAAACUCCAUUGCUUCGCAGUUAAAGGCUCUGCAGUUAAUGAAGGCUCCGCAGUUAAUGAAGGCUCCGCAGUUAAUGAAGGCUCCGCAGUUAAUGAAGGCUCCGCAGUUAAUGAAGGCUCCGCAGUUAAUGAAGGCUCCGCAGUUAAUGAAGGCUCCGCAGUUAAUGAAGGCUCCGCAGUUAAUGAAGGCUCCGCAGUUAAUGAAGGCUCCGCAGUUAAUAAAGGCUCUGCAGAUAAUAAUGGCUUCACAACUCGAAGCUCCGGUGGUAAGGUAUGUAUAUAUUAUAUAAUAUAAUUCUGAUACUCU